GUACCGUUCGAGCACCUGUGAACCCCGGACGAGGGGCGCCGUACCCGGUCACGACAAGACGGCGCGCA
rnacentral:ncRNA from 1 species